GAUGAACGCUGGCGGCGUGCCUAAUACAUGCAAGUCGAACGAAACUUCUUUAUCACCGAGUGCUUGCACUCACCGAUAAAGAGUUGAGUGGCGAACGGGUGAGUAACACGUGGGCAACCUGCCCAAAAGAGGGGGAUAACGCUUGGAAACAGGUGCUAAUACCGCAUAACCAUAGUUACCGCAUGGUAACUAUGUAAAAGGUGGCUAUACUACCGCUUUUGGAUGGGCCCGCGGCGCAUUAGCUAGUUGGUAGGGUAAAGGCUUACCAAGGCAAUGAUGCGUAGCCGAAUUGAGAGGUUGAUCGGCCACAUUGGAACUGAGACACGGCCCAAACUCCUACGGGAGGCAGCAGUAGGGAAUCUUCCACAAUGGGCGAAAGCCUGAUGGAGCAACGCCGCGUGGGUGAAGAAGGUCUUCGGAUCGUAAAACCCUGUUGUUAGAGAAGAAAGUGCGUGAGAGUAACUGUUCACGUUUCGACGGUAUCUAACCAGAAAGCCACGGCUAACUACGUG
rnacentral:rRNA from 1 species